rnacentral:rRNA from 1 species
GACGAACGCUGGCGGCGUGCUUAACACAUGCAAGUCGAACGGAAAGGCCCUGCUUGUGGGGGGUUCGAGUGGGGCAAGGGGGAGUGAAACACGGGAGUAACCUGCCCUACACUGGGGGAUAACUUCAGGAAACGGGGGAUAAUCGCGGAUAGGAGCUCCUGAGUGAUGGGGGGGGUAGGAAAGUUUGGGCGGGUGGGGAUGGACGGGCGGCUUACCAGCUGGUUGGUGGGGGAGUGGCUUACCAAGGGAUUGGCGGGUGGCCGGCUGGGGGGGUUGACCGGCCCCAUUGGGCCUGGGAUCCGGCCCAGCCUCCUACGGGAGGAAGCAGUGGGGAAUAUUGCCCAUUGGCCGGAAGCCGGUUCCAGGACGCCGCGGGGCGGGAUGACGGCCUUCGGGUUGUAACCCCCUUUCGUAGGUGCCGAAGCGUGAGUGACGGUACCGGGUUAAGAAGCACCGGCUAACUACGUG